UUACGGCCAUAUCACGUUGGAACACCGAUUCCCGUACGAUCACCGAAGUUAAGCAACGUCCUAGAGGGGUGACCGCUUGGGAGUACCAGGUGCUGUAUU